rnacentral:rRNA from 1 species
AUGGAGGCGGUCGAGGAGGAGAAGGAGUACGAGGUGGAGGAGGUGCACGACCGGCUGCAGUCGUCGCGGAACAGCCGGCUGGCGCUCUUCGGCUCCGACCUCCGGCUCGGCCCGCGCCGCCGGCGCCCCCCUCGCCGCCCCGCCGUCGACGGCGAGGACGGGUUCUUCCACGACCACAUCAUCCUCCCCGACAACAAGUUGUAUCUGUUAUGGACCAAGUUCAUACUGGUUUGGGCGGUGUACAGUUCCUUCUUUACGCCCUUUGAAUUCGGCUUCUUCCGGGGCCUCCCCGACAAACUGUUCGUCUUGGACAUAGUUGGGCAGAUUGCCUUCCUCAUUGAUAUUGUUCUCAAGUUUUUCGUGGCCUACCGCGACCCCGACACGUACCGCAUCGUACGCAAUCCGACCUCUAUUGCCCUCCGGUAUUGCAAAUCAAGCUUCAUUUUUGAUCUCCUUGGUUGCUUCCCAUGGGAUAUUAUCUACAAGGCUUGUGGCAGUAAAGAAGAAGUAAGAUACCUAUUGUGGAUCCGUUUAACACGAGCUCUGAAGGUAAUAGAAUUCUUCAGGGAUUUGGAGAAGGAUAUCCGCGUGAAUUAUCUGUUCACAAGGAUAGUGAAACUCAUAGUUGUGGAGCUCUACUGCACGCACACAGCAGCCUGUAUCUUCUAUUACCUGGCCACAACUCUACCCGAGUCAAUGGAAGGAAAUACAUGGAUAGGGAGUUUGAAGUUGGGAGAGUACAGCUAUGAUCAUUUCAGGGAGCUUGAUCUUAUCAAGCUUUAUACCACCUCACUGUACUUUGCAAUCGUCACCAUGGCGACUGUUGGUUAUGGUGACAUUCAUGCUGUAAAUGUCAGGGAAAUGAUAUUUGUCAUGAUCUAUGUCUCCUUUGAUAUGAUUCUUGGAGCUUACCUCAUUGGUAACAUGACUGCGCUUAUUGUCAAAGGCUCGAGAACCGAGCGAUUUAGGGACAAAAUGAAAGAAGUCAUUAGGUAUAUGAACAGAAAUAAACUUGGGAAAGAGAUAAGGGAACAGAUCAAGGGGCAUCUGAGGUUGCAGUACGAGAGCAGCUACACUGAAGCUUCUGUACUUCAGGAUAUCCCUAUUUCAAUUCGUGCAAAGAUUUCUCAAACACUGUACAAGCCAUAUGUUGAGAGCACUCCACUGUUCAAAGGCUGCUCGGCAGAAUUCAUUCAACAGAUUGUCAUCAGACUCCAAGAAGAGUUCUUCCUACCAGGAGAGGUUAUUUUGGAGCAAGGCAGUGCAGUUGAUCAGAUAUACUUUGUCUGUCAUGGUGCACUGGAAGGUGUUGGCAUCGGCGAAGACGGUCAAGAGGAGACUAUUUUGAUGUUGGAGCCCGAGAGUUCUUUCGGAGAAAUCGCUAUCCUCUGCAACAUUCCACAGCCAUACAGUGUUCGUGUUUGCGAACUUUGCAGGCUCUUGCGGCUUGAUAAGCAGUCAUUCACAAACAUACUGGAGAUCUAUUUCGUCGACGGAAGGAAAAUUUUGAGCAAUCUCACAGAUAACAAUGAAUAUGGCGGUCGGGUCAAACAAAUAGAAUCAGAUAUCACAUUCCACAUAGGGAAGCAAGAGGCAGAGCUGACCUUAAGAGUAAAUAGUGCCGCCUUUUAUGGUGACCUUAAUCAGCUCAAGGGUUUGAUCCGAGCAGGAGCCGAUCCAAAGAACACGGAUUACGAUGGGCGAUCUCCUUUGCAUCUUGCAGCUUCCAAAGGGUACGAAGACGUUGCGCAGUUCCUCAUCCACGAAGGGGCUGAUAUCGAUCUUGCCGAUAAAUUUGGGAACACGCCACUGCUGGAGGCAGUGAAGCAGGGGCAUGACCGGGUGGCCACGCUGCUCUUCGGCAGAGGAGCCAAGCUGAACCUCGAGAACGCCGGCAGCCACCUCUGCAUGGCGGUGUCGAAGGGGGACUCCGAUUUCGUUCGGAGGGCUCUGGCCUACGGCGCUGACCCAGACUCGAAAGACUACGACCACCGCAGUCCUCUCCACAUAGCCGCCGCAGAUGGCCUGUACAUGAUGGCCAAGAUGCUGGUAGACGCAGGCGCAAGCGUGUUCGCAACUGACAGGUGGGGCACUACUCCGCUGGACGAAGGGCGCAAGUCGGGCAGCAAGCCGCUCAUGAUGCUGCUGGAGCAGGCGAAAGCCGACGAGCUGUCCAAGUUCCCCGCCCGCGGUGAAGAAGUCAGAGAUAGAAUGCACCCACGACGAUGCUCCGUGUUCCCCAGCCAUCCAUGGGACGAUGGCGCCGAGCGAAGAGAGGGGGUGACGCUGUGGAUUCCACACACGAUCGACGGGCUCAUCAGGUCGGCACAGGAGAAGCUGGGACUGUCCGGCUCAGGCCUGCGCCUGCUCGGCGAGGACGGCGCGAGGGUGCAGGAGGUCGACAUGGUCCAUGAUGGCCAGAAGCUCUAUCUGGUCGGAGGCGAUGACGGCGUGGGGCAGAGCGAGUAG